rnacentral:rRNA from 1 species
UUCGAAGACAACUAGGAUGUUGGCUCAGAAGCAGCCAUACAUUCAAAGAGUGCGUAACAGCUCACUAGUCGAGAGGUCCUGCGCCGAAAAUGUCCGGGGCUGAAACACAACACCGAAGCUGCGGAAUUGCGAAUGCAAUUGGUAGAGGAGCAUUCUUAAUACCGACGAAGCUGUACCGGAAGGAGCAGUGGAGGGAUAAGAAGAGAGAAUGCCGGAAUGAGUAGCGAGAGAGAGGUGGGAAUCCUCUCGGCCGAAUAUCCAAGGUUUCCAGAGUAAAGCUGAUCUGCUCUGGGUAAGUCGGGGCCUAAGGCGAGGUCAAGAGACGUAGCCGAUGGACAACAGGUUUAGAUUCCUGUACCGCAUAUAAACAGAACUGUGGGGACGCAUGGGGAGAGCAUGGGCCGGGAAUGGAAAUACCGGUGCAAGCGAAGGAGGUGUGCAGCCGGCAAAUCCGCUGCAUGAGCCGAAAGCGUGACGCGGAGCGAAAUGAAAGUAGCGAAGCAUGUGAGCCCUGUGCCGAGAAAAGCCGCUAUUGUUUUAUAUGUGCCCGUACCGUAAACCGACACAGGUGGAUGAGGAGAGAAUCCUAAGGCCGGCGGAAGAAGUAUUGUUAAGGAACUCGGCAAAAUGACCCCGUAACUUCGGGAGAAGGGGUGCCCACGGGAGUGGGCCGCAGAGAAUAGGCUCAAGCAACUGUUUAGCAAAAACACAGGUCUAUGCGAAACCGAAAGGUGAAGUAUAUGGGCUGACGCCUGCCCGGUGCUGGAAGGUUAAGAGGAGAGGUUAGCGCAAGCGAAGCUUUGAAUUUAAGCCCCAGUAAACGGCGGCCGUAACUAUAACGGUCCUAAGGUAGCGAAAUUCCUUGUCGGGUAAGUUCCGACCCGCACGAAAGGCGUAAUGAUUUGAGCGCUGUCUCGACAAUGCACCCGGUGAAAUUGAAAUACCAGUGAAGAUGCUGGUUACCCGCGCCAGGACGGAAAGACCCCAUGGAGCUUUACUCCAGUUUGGUACUGGGAUUCGGUACUGCACGUACAGGAUAGGUGGGAGACUUUGAAACUUGAACGCCAGUUUGAGUGGAGUCGCUGUUGGGAUACCACCCCUGCAGUAUUGGGUUUCUAACCAGUCACCGUGACCCGGUGAUGGGACAAUGCCAGGCGGGGAGUUUGACUGGGGCGGUCGCCUCCGAAAGGGUAUCGGAGGCGCUCAAAGGUUCCCUCAGAAUGGUUGGAAACCAUUCGAAGAGUG